rnacentral:rRNA from 1 species
UACGGGGGGAGCAAGCGUUGUUCGGAUUUACUGGGCGUAAAGGGCGCGUAGGCGGCCAGCACAAGUCAGUUGUGAAAUCUCCGAGCUUAACUCGGAACGGUCAACUGAUACUGUGCGGCUAGAGUGCGGAAGGGGCAACUGGAAUUCUUGGUGUAGCGGUGAAAUGCGUAGAUAUCAAGAGGAACACCUGCGGCGAAGGCGGGUUGCUGGGCCGACACUGACGCUGAAGCGCGAAAGCUAGGGGAGCAAACGGG